rnacentral:lncRNA from 1 species
AUGUUGAGCUUUAAGCCAACUUUUUCACUCUCCACUUUCACUUUCAUCAAGAGGCUUUUUAGUUCCUCUUCAUUUUAUCACAAUAAACUGUGGAAAAUUCUGAAAGAGAUGGGAAUACCAGACCACCUGACCUGCCUAUAUGCAGAUCAGGAAGCAAUAGUUAGAACUGGACAUGGAACAGACUGGUUACAAAUAGAAAAAGGAGUAAAUCAAGGCUGUAUAUUGUCACCCUGCUUCUUUAACUUCUGUGCAGAGUAUAUCAUGAGAAACGCUGGACUGGAAGAAACACAAGCUGGAAUCAAGAUUGCUGGGAGAAAUAUCAAUCACCUCAGAUAUGCAGAUGACACCACCCUUAUGGCAGAAAGUAAAGAGGAGCUAAAAAGCCUCUUGAUGAAAAUGAAAGAGGAGAGUGAAAAAGUUGGCUUAAAGCUCAACAUUCAGAAAACGAAGAUCAUGGCAUCUGGUCCUAUCACUUCAUGGGAAAUAGAUGGGGAAACAGUGGAAACAGGGUCAGACUUUAUUUUUGGGGGCUCCAAAAUCACUGCAGAUGGUGACUGCAGCCAUGAAAUUAAAAGAUGCUUACUGCUUGGAAGGAAAGUUAUGACCAACCUAGAUAGCAUAUUCAAAAGCAGAGACAUUACUUUGCCAACUAAGGUCCAUCUAGUCAAGGCUAUGGUUUUUCCAGUGGUCAUGUAUGGAUGUGAGAGUUGGACUGUGAAGAAAGCUGAGCACCAAAGAAUUGAUGCUUUUGAACUGUGGUGUUGGAGAAGACUCUUGAGAAUCCCUUGGACUACAAGGAGAUCCAACCAGUCCAUCUUAAAGGAGAUCACCCCUGGGUGUUCAUUGGAAGGACUGAUGCUAAAGUUGAAACUCCAAUACUUUGGCCACCUCAUGCAAAGAGUUAACUCACUGGAAAAGACCCUGAUGCUGGGAGGGAUUGUGGGCAGGAGGAGAAGGGGACAACAGAGGAUGAGAUGGCUGGAUGGCAUCACCAACUCGAUGCACAUGAGUUUUAGUAAACUCUGGGAGUUGGUGAUGGUCAGGGAGGUCUGGCGUGCUGCAAUUCAUGGGGUCGGAAAGAGUCGGACACAACUGAGCGACUGA